GACUGCUCCGGUUGCCUAGUGGUAGAGCGUCCACCUCGAGUGCUGGAGUUCGCGGGUUCAAACCCGGGCCGAGUCA